UACGAAGGGGGCUAGCGUUGUUCGGAUUUACUGGGCGUAAAGCGCACGUAGGCGGAUUGUUAAGUCAGGGGUGAAAUCCUGGAGCUCAACUCCAGAACUGCCUUUGAUACUGAAGAUCUUGAGUUCGGGAGAGGUGAGUGGAACUGCGAGUGUAGAGGUGAAAUUCGUAGAUAUUCGCAAGAACACCAGUGGCGAAGGCGGCUCACUGGCCCGAUACUGACGCUGAGGCACGAAAGCGUGGGGAGCAAACAGG
rnacentral:rRNA from 1 species